AAAUGGCAGGUGUAAUUAUGUAUUGCACACAUAAAUUAUCGAUUGCAGUAGUAUAAAUUAAAACAUUUUGAAGUAAGUUGUAUCUAGUCUGAAGCAGAUUAAUGGAGAAAUGAUACCAACAUGUUUAUGUUUAGAAAAUAUCUUUGGUUUUUCAUUUCUAAAUGAGCCCAAAUGGUCUAGUGCCGUUUUCUCCUCCACUCGUGAUGAUAUAUGAGAUGUUGCCAGGUGCAUGUGAAGCGUUCUGGGUGUGGCCUGUCUGCCUGAGGCUGACUGGCCUAUCACUGUGUCCCUGUGCUGCUUUGCCACGCCUGUGACACUCCAUCUUCCCUGUGCACGCGCCUUCUCCCCAUCCAGGCAUUCAGGAUACAGUGGAGUCUCUGCAACAGGGUGACUUUUUUUUUGUCUCCAACACCUGUGACCAUCUUUUUAAUUUUGUUAAACUGAAGGAAACCGACUUGAUGAGAGUAACAUCAAACUCCCCCCAAAACACGAAAUUAGCCUCUCUCUGCAAGAUGAAAUAAGAAGUGCCCUGAAUGACGAGAGAAAGCAUGCUAGGGUCUCUGCCUAACUGAUCACUCAGGUUACGGUGAAAUCCUACCGGAUCAACAUCUGAGACCAGGCUUAUGGAAGUGAGCUUCCAACCUGAAUGCUUGAGGCUGAGGGGGUGUUGGCGGCCUCGAUAACAACCUGAACAACAGCUGGCAGCAGGGAGUGCCUGGGCCAUGUGUCCCCAGAGCACUGACCUGGGUGGUCCAGUCUCCUGUCUCGAGCUCCAGCCAUGAGCUUACACGGCCUUCACACUCCCCCCAAAACCAGCCAUUCUCAACCAGCGAGGCCUCUGUGUCUGCAAGGCCAGUUUUAUUUCUUCUUUGAUAUUUCUGCUUCUGUGUCCUUUCCCCGCUGCCCAAAAGCUGCCUCCCGUCUGCCCAUGCAGAGCUGUAUUACCCAACAACACCCAGCUCGACUCGGACAGCACCCAGCUCAACUCGGACAGGCCCCGGGAAAGUAAGAGCUUGGGGGGAGACCCACAGGCCCACACGGCAGCACUGCGAGGCUAGACCGUAAACAUGGGUCAAUUGAAUAUUUAUAAACAGGAUACUUAAAGGUUCUUGGGAUAUUGAACAAUGAAAGAAAUUGUACUAUUUGAAAAUUCUAUUUCACAUGAAAAUGUAAAAUUUCAGCAUAUCAGAAAGCAUCGUGAACAAAUUUGAAAGCCAAGCAAAACUGGGAAAAAUAUUUGGAUAAAAAAAUCCUAACACUGGUACAUAAUACAUAAUAGGCAGUUCAUAUGUAUUUUUUGUAUGAAUGAAACUUACAAUACUUUUAUUAAUGUCAUGGGAACUUAUAAAAACUGCAUGGAGAUAUUUUAAAGAAAAAAUUUUGAAACCCAUUUUGGUUUUCUUUAUAAUUCCUUCAGUUCAGCCCAUUCCUGUAACCACGUGCUCAUCCCCACAGGACUAGGCAGUGCCCACCCUUGGUGCCCUGCAGUGCACCGCAAGGACAUGGCCGUGGCCUGGAGCCGCGUCCCUGAGUUCCUGGUGGGCCGCGUGAGUCUCCCUGUUCCUCCCUGCUGCCUUCUCCUCUCCUGGCUUCCCCACCCCAUACUUCCCUGAUGAUAUGGUUUGGCUGUGUCCCCACCCAAAUCUCAUUUUGAAUUGUAAUCGUCAUGGGUUGACCGAGGGAGGUGAUUGGAUCAUGGGGGCAGAUGUCCCCCAGGCUGUUCUCAUGAUAGUGAGUUCUCACAAGGUCUGACGGUUUUAAAAGUGGCAGUUUGUUCUCGCGCUCUCGCUUCUCCAUCCUGCUGCCUUGUGAAUAAGGAUGUGUCUGCUUCCCCUUCUGCCGUGAUUGUGUUUCCUGAGGUCUCCCCAGCCAUGGAGAACUGCAAGUCAAUUAAACCUGUUUCCUUUAUAAAUUACCCAGUCUUGGGGAAGGCGUGAGAACAGACAAACAUGCCUGAGUCCCCGAGUCUGUGAUGCUCCUCAUUCUUCAGCACGGCCUGUGCCCGGGACGGGGCGCUCCUCCAGUGCAGAGCUCACACCAUGACUGUGGUGUCCUUCAAAUAACACUGCUGCUGCCAGCUUCCCAGGGACUCUUCUCCUGUGUGAUUCCAGUGCCUUGCCUAUGUCCCUGCUAAUCUUCUGGAGUUUAGGGGUCCGUGCGAAGCCCACCCCACCUGAGUCCUUUCAUCCUGGGUGCCUUCACCUCCGUCCAGGACUCCGGGGUUGCAGCCACACAUGCUCAUGUCACCGUGAGGCCCAGCCCUCCAGGGCCUGAGAUGUACAGAUGCUAUCCCCCUGGGCACCCAGUGUUUCCCCUUCCUCCCUGUCUGCCUUUUGCUCAAUCUCUCAGCGCCCUCAGGAAGCCCUUUCACAGCUCAGCAGGGAAACCUCUGGGCUCCUCCCCCUCCAGCAAGUCACCUGGAAGCUCUCAGGCUGGCCAUGGAAAGCUGAACCCACUGCCAGGGGACUGGACAGAGAGGCUGGUCUCAUUUUCCAAUCCCUUCCAGAAGGAAGGAGGAUGCUUCUCCUGAGAGCAGCGACAGGUUUGUGUCCUGUGACCUCUGCCUUCCCUCGCCCGGGGGAGGGUGAUGGGGCGUCUUUUUGGCUUUGGUUUAAGUAGCAAAAGAGAUGGAGUGUUCAAAGGAUUGAGGGGUCGGCCGAGGGUGGGGCUUCUCAGUGAGGGGCGGGUCCUCUGGGCGUCAUGAGGGCCUGGGGAGAGGACCCUGACCCACUGCCAGGGAGCUGUGCCAGAGGUUCCCAUGGGACAUGGAAGGGGAACCGACAUCCGUUUCUGCACUGGGGUGUGGACACCUGGCCCCACACCACCUAGGUUCCCCCACAGGGGCCUGAAGACUGGAGGUUCUCUCCAGAAUGUUCUGGUUUGAUUCUGAGAGCAGGAGAGACACCCAUAAAAAUGAUUGGGGUUAAAUUUCUGGCCAGGUAGAUGGGAACUCACAGCCAAAAUUUAAUUAAGGAGAAUAAACAAUUGUGCCACGCCAUGCAUCCAAGUCCGGCAGGGCAAAUCCACACCCGCUACUCACUGAGCUUCCCCUGGGCCGGAAUGCUCCCCCUACAUUUGCAAGAACAAAGCCUCCUUCCUGUAGAAAAGAAAACAAAAGUAAAAUAAAAAAGAACAAAGCCAUUGGGCUUGGGUUUCCUCUUUCCAAUCAAUCGAUCGGUCAUCGUCAACACUUUGGUUUUUUGUUGUUGUUUGUUCGUUUUUUUGAGAUGGGGUCUCGCUCAGUCACCCAGGCUGGAAUGUGAUGGUGCGAUCUCGGCUCACUGCAACCUCCGCCUCCCGGGAUCAAGCGAUUCUCCUGCCUCAGCCUCCAAAGUAGCUGGGAUUACAG
rnacentral:lncRNA from 1 species